CCUACGGGAGGCAGCAGUAGGGAAUAUUGGGCAAUGGGCGAAAGCCUGACCCAGCCGCGCCGCGUGCAGGAAGACGGCCCUCUGGGUUGUAAACUGCUUUUAACUGGGAAGAAAGAAGCCCAUGCGUGGGAAGUUGACGGUACCAGUUGAAUAAGCCACGGCUAACUACGUGCCAGCAGCCGCGGUAAUACGUAGGUGGCAAGCGUUAUCCGGAUUUAUUGGGUUUAAAGGGUGCGUAGGCGGUUCAAUAAGUCAGUGGUUAAAGGUAGCAGCUUAACUGUUUUACAUGCCACUGAUACUGCUGAACUUGAGUUGACAGAAGGCAGAUAGAAUUUCUGGUGUAGCGGUGAAAUGCUUAGAUACCAGAAGGAAUACCGAUUGCGAAGGCAGUCUGCUGCAGUCACACUGACGCUGAGGCACGAAAGUGCGGGGAUCAAACAGGAUUAGAUACCCUGGUAGUCCGCACAGUAAACGAUGAUUACUAGAUGUUGGUGNGAGCAGUGUCGAGGAACGAAGUAAGUAAUACACCNGGAGUACGCGCGACGAGAACGUAAUAGUAGUAGACGNGUGAGACGNGCGACGGACGACGACGAGGGAGGAGG
rnacentral:rRNA from 1 species